GUAUGUAGCUCAGUGGUAGAGCACUUGCCUAGCAUGUAUGAAGCACUGAGUUCAAUCCUCAGCACCACA
rnacentral:tRNA from 1 species